AUUGAACGCUGGCGGCAGGCCUAACACAUGCAAGUCGAACGAGUGGCGGACGGGUGAGUAAUGUCUGGGAAACUGCCCGAUGGAGGGGGAUAACUACUGGAAACGGUAGCUAAUACCGCAUACCAUCGGAUGUGCCCAGAUGGGAUUAGCUUGUAGGUGAGGUAACGGCUCACCUAGGCGACGAUCCCUAGCUGGUCUGAGAGGAUGAGCAGCCACACUGGAACUGAGACACGGGGCAGACUCCUACGGGAGGCAGCGUUGGGGAAUAUUGGACAAUGGGCGCAAUGCUGAUGCAGCCAUGCCGCGUGUAUGAAGAAGGCCUUCGUAUUGUAAAGUACUUUCAGCGGGGAGGCGUUACCCGCAGAAGAAGCACCGGCUAACUCCGUGCCAGCAGCCGCGGUAAUAC
rnacentral:rRNA from 1 species